UUGCACGCUGGCGGCAUGCUUUACACAUGCAAGUCGAACGGCAGCACGGGCUUCGGCCUGGUGGCGAGUGGCGAACGGGUGAGUAAUAUAUCGGAACGUACCCAGAAGUGGGGGAUAACGUAGCGAAAGUUACGCUAAUACCGCAUACGAUCUAUGGAUGAAAGCAGGGGACCGCAAGGCCUUGUGCUCCUGGAGCGGCCGAUAUCUGAUUAGCUAGUUGGUGAGGUAAAGGCUCACCAAGGCGACGAUCAGUAGCUGGUCUGAGAGGACGACCAGCCACACUGGAACUGAGACACGGUCCAGACUCCUACGGGAGGCAGCAGUGGGGAAUUUUGGACAAUGGGCGCAAGCCUGAUCCAGCAAUGCCGCGUGAGUGAAGAAGGCCUUCGGGUUGUAAAGCUCUUUUGUCAGGGAAGAAACGGUAGAGGCUAAUAUCCUUUGCUAAUGACGGUACCUGAAGAAUAAGCACCGGCUAACUACGUG
rnacentral:rRNA from 1 species